UACGUAGGGGGCAAGCGUUGUCCGGAUUUAUUGGGCGUAAAGAGCGUGUAGGCGGCCAGGUAGGUCAGCUGUGAAAACUCGAGGCUCAACCUCGAGACGCCGGUUGAAACCAUCUGGCUAGAGUCCGGAAGAGGAGAGUGGAAUUCCUGGUGUAGCGGUGAAAUGCGCAGAUAUCAGGAAGAACACCCGUGGCUAAGGCGGCUCUCUAGUACGGUACUGACGCUGAGACGCGAAAGCGUGGGGAGCAAACAGG
rnacentral:rRNA from 1 species